UUGGAACCUACUCAGCUCUCCCUGAUA
rnacentral:piRNA from 1 species